GAAGGAGAAGGUUUGACAAUCCAUGAAAUCCGGUCUAGCCUUAGCAAAGCGUCAUCAUGCCAAUUGGUCACCUUUUUGAGCCUGAAGUCGCGCCAUUUUUUGGCCUUCCUCCAUCUUUGUUCAAAAUUGGUCAAUAUAUCAUAUGCUGCUGGACCUUCAAUUUUGCAAUGUAAGUCAUGCCAUGGCUGCCUUGGUGCACAUGAAUUCGAAUGUAACUGUGUCAUAUAGCACACAAUUUCAGCAAAUUCCCUUAUGAUAUUUUUUUCUCCUUUAUUUGGUGCUGAUGUGUGCAUUUGUUUUCCUUCUCACUUUCACCCAUCACCGUGAAUAUCAAAAAACCAUAGCAUAUACUAUGUGUAUAGAAGAUAAACAUUGACAUAAUUGAUUUUACAAUGACAUAUGAACACUCUCAUAAGGCAAAAUCACCAUAUAAGGCAACAUUGAAGAUCAACAGAUAAUCUAGCAAAUGAAGUUUAUCAAAAUUAACAGACAAAGAAGAAGAUUUUGAAAAACUCUCGAGCAAAAUCAGAAAUAAAAAUUUGGUUUUGUUUAGAGCACAGCAUCAUUCUUUAAUCUAUUUACCAACCCUACCCCAUUGGUAAGGCUCUCGCUUCUUGUCGUCAUUAUUGUUGACAAAAAUCAGCACACAGAAAAAGCCAGAAGUUGGUAUUAUUAUCUUUAUUCCACUGUAUGCACAUAAAGAUAUGUUUUAUAAAAUUCCCUAGUAGUAUAAUAAAAGAGAAGGCAUGCUUUAUUCUUGUGAAUUCUUCAAUGUUUACAAUAAACACUUACUUGAAAUGUAGGAUUAUGAAAAUCAUUAUGAAAGACUGUAUCUAGAUCACGAAAAAGCCGAUGCUCCGGUGUAUCAUAUCUACCAUCACAUAGAUCCAAACCACCAAUGAAAGCUGUUAUUUUCCUAUUAUUCCCAGAACCUAGACUGUCUACAAGAACACAUUUCUGGUGAUGCGUAAAGAGGGUUCCCACAACCUGGACCAAAUGAUUCAAUCAAAUUAGUAUUGUUUUAAGUUUUAGCUAAGUACACAACAUGACCUCGUUAUAUCUAUGACUACUACUAAAUGUAAGUCUUCCAGUUAAGAAAUAAUGACAUUGAUGGUGACAUCAAAUAGCUAGUAUCUUUAUCCAACACAAUUCUAAACUCAAAUGCAAGAACUCCGUGCCUGUUGCUUGAAAAUACUGAGCUUAUUGCUUGCAUAGCGUGGAGAUAGCACACAAUGAACAGUAGAAUGUUUGAAAAACUUCUUAGUUUCUUCAUCAUGAGUCUGCAUGACACCAUCCUGCAAUCAAGAAAAUCAAAUAUUAUAAUGUACAUUAAUUUUAAAUCUUAGUGACACAGGAUUAAGUACAAAGUUUUUAUGCAACCAUAUCUACAUUACAAUAAUCCCUAAUGAAGGAAAUAUCUGCUAAACCUUAUAUUUUAGGAAUCUUAAAAGCCUAGCAUCUCAUCACUGAAUGUUAAUGGUGCAUAUACAAGAUAGUCUAAGCAAAUCCACCCCCGUAAAGAAGAUACAUCACCACUAUCUUUUACUUCAGAACCCACCCAAUUUUAUCCUAAAUAGAACUUUACUUUGUAUUACUUUAUGGUAUGAAAGUAAUAUCAUGAAUUUAUUUGGAAAGCAGUGCAAUAAUUCAGGACAAAUAAAAAACUAACUUCCCUAGAAUUUGAUGAGGAAAUCAAUAGACAUCAUGUUUAUUUUUCUGAUCAGGGUAAUGAGAAUUACUGUUUUCAAAAGAAACUUGUCAUGUGAAGUUCUGUCAUCCCAAAUCAGCAUAACCACUCGGAGCCCUUCUUGUGACUUGUACUUCAACAGCUCUCCAAGUGAAAGCUCUCCCCCAGAAGGCAAUGGUUUUGUUGCCUCUCUGACCAGCCUCACUGGGUGGUAAACUGACCAUCCUAUAAUGUAUAUCAGGUGAUGAGCUUCCAAAAUUGCAUGGCAUAUGUCCUCCCAACAUUUAUUAUGCUGAAACACUUUUCCACCCUCAAGUGUAAUUUCAGGUAGCAUACCAUCAGGUAAAUGUGCAUCUUGAUAUAGAGUCACACUCCCUCCUUUCCUGAGAGGGAAAUAUGUUUUAGGAACUCCUAAGGCUUUUCCAUCCCCACUACUAAUACUUUCUGAACGGUUCACUCCAAUUUGCCUAUACUGAACAGAAAUAUGCAAUUCAGGAUAAGGUUUUAAGCAGUUUCCGUACUGACCAAUGAUGGGAAACCAAUCAUUAACAGUAUUUCCUGCAAUUAUCUUCUGAACAGGUAUCUCCACCACUCCAAUGAGUUCAGCCCCAAGAAUAUCAUUGUCCUUCACAAGGAACUCAAGUUUUUGAGCAGGGUGAGCAACAGGCACAAUAAACUGCUCAUCCCACAAAGGGUUCUCACAGUUAGCAAUCACUCUAGUCUGAGCUAUGGUAGCCCCAGCAAUGCAUACAGAAACAUAAGGGUCACUAGUUAUCAUCUUGUCUUUUCCAGAGUGUGUCUUUAGUCCUUUUAUAAAUGGAGGGUGGCACAUGUUGCCCAUAGUGAUGCAUUUUCUAAUUGUUUCACUGGAUAAAUCUAAAUUUGGAAGAGACUUGGCUUCUAUUAUCAACAGAUCCAAGUCACCAUGUAAGAAAACCGGUCCAUUAAGGCCUUCAUACUCCCUGUUUGGAGAGCUUUGGGAAAUACCACCAUGACAAUCCAUUUCAACCUGAGAACUCAAAAAAGAUGCAUGUUUUCUAAAUUAGAACACUUUGUUUUCAGGUGCUAAAAUCCAAAUUCAAGAUGCUUAAAGCAUUAUGGAAAAUAGUUUCAAAAAAAUAUAACAUGCAUGUUGAUCACCUUAUGAUCCUUUCAGUUAUUUCACAUCAUCAUCUUUUGGUUGUAAGGAAAACAUGCCUCUUCAACAAAUUCUCAGAGGUUCCAGUCUCUUUGACAAAGAGAGGAGAAGAAAAACGAUUACCUGGAGAAGAAGCCAAUGACAAGAAAUAAAAGUAAAAAAAGGGAAAAGAAAAGAAAAGAAAUUUGUGUGUAUAUGGAUUCAUGUAACAAUGUUGCAGUUCAGAGCAUGGUCCAACACCACGUCCACAAGAAGCAGGAGAGAGGUUUCUUAGGCCGAAAAUGGUGGCAAAUCUCGUGGAAUUAGAAGUUUGGAACCCAUCUCUCUCUUGGUUUUUCAUUUCCUGAAUUGGCAUAUUCCAAACGAAAUCCAUGCAUGGGAGAAAAAAAUUAUAGAAAAAUAUAAAAAGAAAGAGAUUGGUGAGGUGGAAGCUGAUGGAGAGACCAAGAGAUUGGAGACAUUUUGCAUGGAACCAAUGAACUUUGUGCUUUCUUCUGGUUACCCCUCUCUCUCUCCUAUACACAUGGAAAUGUUUAAGAAAAGGAAAAAGAUUAAUCUAUGUUUAUCAUCCUGACAAAUGUUUUUUCUCCUUAAACUUUUCUUCCUUUAUAAUUUUUAGUCAUUUUCAUAUAUUUUAUUAUCAUUUUAAAUAACUUAUCACAUUUAUCAACUUACUUUUUUUAUUCCCAUCUCUCUCUUGCUCUUCCAUAUUUUGGCCAUCAUAAUUUUCAGUCCUUUCCCUCUGUUUUGAUUUUAAAUCCUUAAAAGAUUUUUUUAUUUAUUUUAGUCUUUGGGGUCAGGUAACAACUUAUUAACUUGUCAGGUUAUGACAAAUUGUCACACAAGUUUAUUUUUUUUCAAUUUUUUUUUUGUUUAUAUAUCCUCAUUUGUUCAAAAUUGUGGACAAAUUUUGUCACUAACUAAAUCAACUAAUUUUUUUUAAAAAGUAUGAAUUAAUUAGUCUUGUAUGACAAAAGAAAUAAUAAUAAUAUGGUGAGAAGAUGUGAAUUAAUUGAAAGAAUAUAUUAAUAUUGUUCCUGUCUUCUCUUGCUAAUAAUUAUCACAGAUAUGGUUCACCCAUAUUUUGUUCAAUUACUAUCAAAAGCCAUACACAAAACAUUACAAUUGGGCUUGUCAUGUUACUUGCCAGUUGAAAAAUUAAAAUUACUCUUAUUCUGCCCGGAUCCAUCAAAGAGGAAAGAAAAAGAUCAAGAAAAACUAUUGUGCAUAAACAGUAAGAAAAGCAUCACCAAACUAAUGAAUUAAGGUGCAACAAUUUCACUUGUUUUCACAAAUAUGACAAAAGUAAUAAACUCACUAUUUGUCACAAAUAUGCCAAAUCACUAUAACAAAAUAAAAAAUCCAAGAUAUAGAUAGAAUUAGAACAGCAAUGGAUAAGAUUACAUCAUAUAUAUAUAUAUUGAUCAUUCGAUCUCUCCCUCCUUGUGUGUCUCAAUGACAACGUCUGACCUAGGUUGAGCAACACAGGUGAGAACCCAGCCACUAUCUAUUUGCUCAUCAUCAAGGAAGCUACCAUCUGACUGGUCCACGUUACCUUCCACAAUUUUGCCAACACAGGAAACGCAAGAACCGGCCCUGCACGAGUAGGGAAGUUCAAUGCCUUCGUCCUCUGCCUUGUCAACAAUGAAAACAUCAUCUGGGCAUUCAAACUCCACUUCUCCUUCUGGGGUUAUGAGCUUCACCUUGUACGAGGCCAUGCAAGUGACACGACCACCUCGUCCACUUUUCAGACCAAAAAGAGCUUCACCAACGUUGGGGAAUGUCUUUAGGCUUGUGGUGGUCAUAGGUUGCCUCCUCAUGAAGGAGGUGCUCACCAUGGUUCCGGAUAGAGCUGCUGUGGUGGCCAUUGAAUGCACGAUGAAAUGAAAAACACUGGAAUAUGCUAUGCACUAGGUUUGUGUUUUG
rnacentral:lncRNA from 1 species